rnacentral:rRNA from 1 species
GAUCAUGGUUCAGGAUGAACGCUAGCUACAGGCUUAACACAUGCAAGUCGAGGGGCAGCAUGGUCUUAGCUUGCUAAGGCCGAUGGCGACCGGCGCACGGGUGAGUAACACGUAUCCAACCUGCCGUCUACUCUUGGACAGCCUUCUGAAAGGAAGAUUAAUACAAGAUGGCAUCAUGAGUCCGCAUGUUCACAUGAUUAAAGGUAUUCCGUAGACGAAUGGGG